UGUAUUGCAACUUGCUUUCUUUUCAGUUAAAGACACAGUGUAUCUUGGAUAGUUGAGUGAUUUGCCAUGCAUGCAAGAAAAGUCUUUUAUUUGUAACAAAGUCUUGCAGAAAUAGACACAAACGACGGAGCUUGCAGAGAAAAAUGUAAAAAAUCCUUUCCUUCCCUUAUCAGAGGAACCCUGAGAAACCAAAUGGGGCUUUCUGUGGUUAUGGCUCAGGGUAGGAAUCAGAUGCGGUUUACCUUAGGGAAAGACAACUCUUAGCUCUGUCACUGCCUAAGCCGAUGACAGCACCCAUUCUCUAGGGACUGGGCAUGUGCUUGGUACAUUGCUGCAUUGUCAGAGGAAGUGUGUAUGUGUGC
rnacentral:lncRNA from 1 species